rnacentral:rRNA from 1 species
AUUGAACGCUGGCGGCAUGCUUUACACAUGCAAGUCGAACGGUAACAGGCCUUCGGGUGCUGACGAGUGGCGAACGGGUGAGUAAUGCAUCGGAACGUGCCCAGAGGUGGGGGAUAACGCAGCGAAAGCUGUGCUAAUACCGCAUAUUAUCUGAGGAUGAAAGCGGGGGACUAAGCAGCAAUGUUUGGCCUCGCGCCUUUGGAGCGGCCGAUGUCAGAUUAGCUAGUUGGUGAGGUAACGGCUCACCAAGGCUACGAUAGCUAGGGGGCGUGAGAGCGUGGCCCCCCACACGGGUACUGAGACACGGACCCGACUCCUACGGGAGGCAGCAGUAAGGAAUAUUGGACAAUGGUCGAAAGACUGAUCCAGCCAUCCCGCGUGCAGGAUGACUGCCCUAUGGGUUGUAAACUGCUUUUAUAUGGGAAGAAUAGCAUAGAUUCAUCUGUGUAUGACGGUACCAUAUGAAUAAG